ensembl:snRNA U6 U6 spliceosomal RNA
GUGCUUGCUUCGGCAGCACAUAUACUAAAAUUGAAAUGAUACAAGAAGAUUAGCAUGGCCCCUGCACAAGGAUAGCAUGCAAAUUCUCGAAGCGUUCCAUAUUUUU